UACGUAGGGUCCGAGCGUUGUCCGGAAUUACUGGGCGUAAAGAGCUCGUAGGUGGUUUGUCGCGUUGUUCGUGAAAACUCACAGCUUAACUGUGGGUCUGCGGUGGAUACGGGCAGGCUGGAGGCUGGUAGGGGCAAGCGGAAUUCCUGGUGUAGCGGUGAAAUGCGCAGAUAUCAGGAGGAACACCAAUGGCGAAGGCAGCUCGCUGGGACGGUACUGACGCUGAGACGCGAAAGCGUGGGGAGCAAACAGG
rnacentral:rRNA from 1 species